CGCUCCAUUAUGUUCCACUAAUCCAAACAUACCCUGAGUUUCCACCUCUCUAACACAAAAACAGAAUAUCACCACCAUCACCAUACCUUUCUCUUCUUCUCAUGGCCAGCCGCCACAACCGUUCCUCUUACUUCCUCUGUCGCAAGUCACCACCACCACUGUUCUUGUUCCUGGCCUUCCUUUCUCGAACAACCACCAUGGGCAUCCCUGAGCACGCGAGGAGCCACAACCGUGGGUCCUUUCCUUCUUUCCCGACGCAGCACCACCGUCGCCUCUUCUCCUCUGUCUCCGGCGAGUGAAACCAUGACUGAACAGAGGAAACAAAACCCUAAACUAAUUUGACGAUCGGCCGCCGUCACUCCGGCGAGCUUCGUUCUGAAAAUCAAGGGCAGUUCCGCAAAGCUUUCGACCUCCUCUUCCCGAAUCCCAAGUCAAAUCAUUGCUAAGAGCUGUGAUGGCCACCAGAGGAAGAGGAAGCUACGGCCAGAGAAGAAAGAGGAGUUCAACUCAGCUCCACAGCCUUGAGAAUUAAGGUUUGGGUUGGAACUUGCGGUUCCAUCUCCUCUAUAAGCCUCGACAUCUCAGGAUAGAGGGAGCAAUCUGCUUUGUGUUUCCCUUCUGUGGAUGUGAAGCUGCUUGAAUCAAGAGCACCUGAACUCAUUUCUCCUCCUAUUGUUCCCUUGACCCCUUUCGAAACUUACAACGCCGGAUAUACACAUACUAGGGACAUAGAUCCAAGGCGGUGGAGGUCCUUGCUGCUCCAGUUUACCAUUCCAGUUCGCACCCCCAAAAAAUCGAACCGCCAGAUCUCGGUGGCCGCCUUCUAUGUUGCUGGAAUCUUGCAAGGCGUUCUUCAGGAAACCCUUCAAGGUCCAAGGUGUAGACGACUAUUACAAAAGCAUGUACUAGCUUAGCAUAAAGUUGGUUCCUAGUUAAUUGGUGUGUAUGACUUCAUUUUUAGUGUGGUUGUGAAAUCAUUGAUUCACAAGCUAUAAGUACCUCAUAUGAUUUUUUUUUCUCAAUUAGUUUCUAUUUGCAACAUAAUUUUGCUGAUAUUAUGCUCAUUUAGAUAGUCUUUGGUUGGAGGGGGGGUGUUAAACUUUCAAUUUUUGGGAGGGGAGUAGAGGGGGAUGGAGGUAUUUUUUAAACUUGUAUGGUUCAGACGUUGGAAAUGAAAUAACUGUCUGAGGAAAUAUUUGCAAGUUGUGUUACAGAAAACCCACUUGAGCCAUGUUAUAUUUCUUUCGUUACUAGCUCUCUUCAUAUUCUUUUACUGUUAUGAUCAUUUUCACUUGCAUGGUUUUUGUUUUAACUCCUUUUGUACAGAGAAAGUUGAAUCAAUAGUCAACAAUAGAUGAAGUAGAACAGGUGGCAUAUGUUCCACCUGUGGCUGAUGGGGUGGAUAAAGUUGGUGAAUAAUUAAGCAGGAGUUUGAAACCAAAAGUAAUAAAAUUAUCUCUAUAUGUUAAUUUUUUCACUUUAAAGUUUGUGUCUCUUGGUCCCCCAAAAUCCAGUUUAUAGUUCAUAUUUGGCAGGAACUUUAUAUCA